GAACCAUCUCAAGUGGGUCUACCUCUUCGCCUUUUUUUGUUGUUGUUGUUGCUUGGCUGCACUUCUGACCGGGCAGGCAGUGAUGAUGUUUGUUUAUGAGUUAGGUCUGACUGUUCGUUGGUGCUUAGGAUCCCCACCGGGUCCCUAGGGCCUGUGCGUACCGCGCACCUGUGCACGUCUUGCGCGCAGCUGCAGGCGACUCCGCUCUGGCUCGUCGCUGCUAUUUCCUGCUGGGGGUGCAGACCCUGUCCCAGGCUAGCUGGGUGACUUCCCCCAACCGCAGAGACAGCGGCGACCCGGGGCCUCAGACCUGCCCCCGCAUCCCGCCGGCGCCAGGCAGUGGGAAGUCAGGUUCUUCCGCCACCUCCCAGCCAGGCUGAAGAUCCCCCCCUUUGAGAAGGCCCGCUCGGUCCUGGAGGCCCUGCAGCAGCGCAGGCCGAGCCCGGAGCUGACCCUGAGCCAGAAGAUCAGGACCAAGCUGCAGAAUCCAGACUUGCUGGAGCUAUGUCACUCAGUGCCCAAGGAAGUGGUCCAGUUGGGUGAGGCCAAAGAUGGCAGCAACCUCUGCUUCAGCAAAUGAUUGUGUAACCCUGGGGCACUUGUCCCUCUCUGGACUUGAUUCACCGAUUUGGAAGUUUGUAGCCCCAGCUGUUACUCAAUGGACUAGGCCUCCUCACUUGUCAAUAGUGUUUCCAGGCUGGGCGCAGUGGCUCGUGCCUGUAAUCCCAGCACUUUGGGAGGCCGAGUGGGGUGGAUCACCUGAGGUCAGGAGUUUGAGACCAUCCUGGCCAACAUGGUGAA
rnacentral:sRNA from 1 species